rnacentral:rRNA from 1 species
GAUGAACGCUGGCGGCGUGCCUAAUACAUGCAAGUCGAGCGAACGGACGAGAAGCUUGCUUCUCUGAUGUUAGCGGCGGACGGGUGAGUAACACGUGGAUAACCUACCUAUAAGACUGGGAUAACUUCGGGAAACCGGAGCUAAUACCGGAUAAUAUUUUGAACCGCAUGGUUCAAAAGUGAAAGACGGUCUUGCUGUCACUUAUAGAUGGAUCCGCGCUGCAUUAGCUAGUUGGUAAGGUAACGGCUUACCAAGGCGACGAUGCAUAGCCGACCUGAGAGGGUGAUCAGCCACACUGGAACUGAGACACGGUCCAGACUCCUACGGGAGGCAGCAGUAGGGAAUCUUCCGCAAUGGGCGAAAGCCUGACGGAGCAACGCCGCGUGAGUGAUGAAGGUCUUCGGAUCGUAAAGCUCUGUUAUUAGGGAAGAACAUAUGUGUAAGUAACUGUGCACAUCUUGACGGUACCUAAUCAGAAAGCCACGGCUAACUACGUG